ensembl:lncRNA
UCCACAGUCAGCCAAGCAGCGUGAAGCUCCUCGGCUGUGUCCCAGUUCCUGUACACACCACGAAAAUAAAAAGAUGCUGUGGCUAUCAUCCCAGAAUAUAUGACCAUAGACCAAGAUGGUGGAUUUGCUGCAAGCAACAUGAUGUGACACCCCUGCUGACAGCCAUGCAAAGGCUACAUCUGAGAAACUCCUCUUGCCUGUGAUGGCCCUGAGACUUUCGGAGAUCACCAGACCUGAUACACUGCCUACUGAUGAGACCCAAAAACAGGCCCAAAGACAAUCACAGCUCACCCU